AAUGGAAACAAAACCGAAUGCCAUGUUUCUUAAUCUAGUUGAACUCUUUUGACAAUGUUGAAGUUAAUUGUAAAAAGGAAACUUCUCCUUGCUUGUCUAAUAAAAUUAUAGUGUAUAUUAGCAUUCUAGGACCACCAAAACAAAAUCUAUCUAACCGACUGAAUAGAUGCACAAUGAAAAUCUGUGUUUGAUAUCUCCAAAGACUUGAAAUUGGAAACUUUUGAAGACACACCUUGCUUUCUUGAUUUUGGACCAAACAUCCAAGUAAUUUGUUAAAUCCAGGAUCUCUCACUGAACCUGGGAUCCACCAAAUUGGCAAGACUAACUGUCCAAUGAGCCCUAAGAAUCCUUCUACCUCCAUCUUCCUGGCCGGGGAUUAUAGGUGCACACUAUGCUCAGCAUUUGUCCAAAGUGGGACUUCUUACUACUUGGGAUGCAAACACAGGUUUUUCCACCCAGAACCCACUGUAUCUAUCCCACCAUGCCUGUCCUUGACUCUCCCUUAAACCUCACUUGUGCAAGAAGAUCUGCAGUGCCCAAGAGCUUAUUCCACAGUACGAGCACCGUCAUCUUGCCCAGCACCAUCAUCUUGAGGUCUGUGUCUUGUGGUACUGUUUCUCACUACCCUCCGUGGAUGUAAAUUGAGACACUCAAUGCCCACUGUGGAGACACCGAAGUGUGACUCCCUGGAGAAGCUCGUACCAUAGUUGGAUAAGUCUCCUCCCUCCCCCAACCGCAUCUCUAGUAACCCCUGUGUUAAAAAUGUCUCCUAAUAAAUCUCCAACUCUGCUUCA